CUGCAAAAUUCCCAUUUCCUCCCAAUCAGCUGGGACUUGGGAGGCAGAGAAUAGAUGAGGGCGGGGCCAGUCAGAAUUUUUACUACCGGUUCUCCGAACUACUCAAAAUUUCCAUUACCGGUUCUCCAGAACUGGUCAGAACCUGCUGAAACCCACCUCUGAUUCUAACUGCAUUUCUGAUAGAUUGCAAAUAAAAAGGCCAAAAUAAUUUCAGAUACCUGAAGCACAGUAAAGCAUAAUAUUAUCUCAUAUUGUCUUUUACUGUAAAACUCAACUAUAUAGCAGCAUCUAACCAACCUUGGCUGAUCUUGAAAAAAUAAACAGGAUUGAUCUAGUUACUAAACGAAUGGGAGACCAGCAGCAGAUCAAAGGGCUGUAGACCUGGGAAGAAGAAGAAGAAAAACCAAAGCAAAAGCUAAGUAUUUUAUAAUUCACCCUAAAAUGUUCAUUAAUAUAUCUACUUGGUGUAAGUAUCAAAAGUCAAGGUGAACUUGAAGUACUAGCCAUUUUGAAAAGGAAUCAUGGAUAUUAUUUUUAAAGAACUGGGGAAACCAGAAAAGUGUCAUUUCCUUUCAGAUUGUCCCUUCAAGCAAUCUUUCAUAAGGUGAUAUUAGAACAGUUUCUAUUGAUAAUUAAUAGAUUUUGCUAUUGCAGGCAGAUUGCCUGACCGAGUGAAAACUCUUCAAUAGAUAAGCAUUCGUGAUGAUAUAGGAUUUUUAAAUUCUGAAUACUUAGAGCAAGAUGACGAACUACUAUUUCUUUUUUAAACGUUACGUUUAUUUUGCUCAGUGCUUAAAGAUGCAGAAAAUGUUAUCUUUAACUUGUUUUUUUCAUGCUCUCUCUAUUAGACCUAAUAUUAAACCAUAUCUAAAGUAUCACCCAUAAUGCUUUGACAAAUCCACUUCAACCACAGCAUUGCCCUUCAUUCUGACUUCAAAAUAUUCACCUAUUCUCCUGGAUUUGUACUGUUUAGCCCAGAGAUAAAGAUUAAGAAGUGAGAUAAAUCCAUUCUCCCAAGCAUGCUCAUGUUUUAAUGCUGAAGUGGAAAACUGUAUCACCCAGAGUACAUUCCAAUUUAUGCCUUUGGACAGAAUGGCCUACUGCCAACACAAUUGACCUGCUGAGCAACUGAUCCAUUUGCAAGUAAAGAUAGAAGAAAAUGCCAUAGAAAAGCUAUAUAUUGUUAUUACAUUAUAUCAAUUAUUGUGUGAGUAAAUAUGGAGUAUUUGUGGCACCUAUGUAUCAAAAAAGAACAGAGAGGCAAGAGAAUGUGCAAAUUAGGGAACAAUUGUACAAAUUCCUCAUGGAAGCAAAGUUUUAAGAUCUUCGAAAUAAAAAUAUAAUCAAUCAAAAGAAAUAAAGAAAUAAAACAAUA